UACGAAGGGGGCUAGCGUUGCUCGGAAUCACUGGGCGUAAAGCGCACGUAGGCGGACUCUUAAGUCGGAGGUGAAAGCCCAGGGCUCAACCCCUGGAAUUGCCUUCGAUACUGUCUGGCUAGAGACCGGAAGAGGUAAGUGGAACUGCGAGUGUAGAGGUGAAAUUCGUAGAUAUUCGCAAGAACACCAGUGGCGAAGGCGGCUUACUGGUCCGGUUCUGACGCUGAGGUGCGAAAGCGUGGGGAGCAAACAGG
rnacentral:rRNA from 1 species